AACGCACCUUGCGCCCUUUGGCUAUUCCGAUGGGCAUGCCUGUUUGAGUAUCAUGAAAUCAUCAACCCCUUCGAGUUUUUGUUAACUUGCUUUGGGCGUUGGAAUUGGAUGUCUUAUUGCUGGAGUUUCACCAACUUCGGCUCAUCCGAAAAGUAUUAGCCUGGACACAUUUUAUAACCUACAAGAGAUACGCUCUUCUGGACUCCCUUCUUGGCGUAAUAAGUCAAAUUAUACAACGUCAGGUUGCCAGAAUGAAUGGCUUGUACUUGGUUGCUGUCUGCUCUCUAAUCGUCUCUUCACGAGACAAAACAUCAUGACUUCUUCUGAUCUCAAAUCAGGUAGGACUACCCGCUGAACUUAA
rnacentral:misc_RNA from 2 species